rnacentral:rRNA from 1 species
GGGGAUAACUACUGGAAACGGUAGCUAAUACCGCAUAANGUCGCAAGACCAAAGAGGGGGACCUUCGGGCCUCUUGCCAUCGGAUGUGCCCAGAUGGGAUUAGCUAGUAGGUGGGGUAACGGCUCACCUAGGCGACGAUCCCUAGCUGGUCUGAGAGGAUGACCAGCCACACUGGAACUGAGACACGGUCCAGACUCCUACGGGAGGCAGCAGUGGGGAAUAUUGCACAAUGGGCGCAAGCCUGAUGCAGCCAUGCCGCGUGUAUGAAGAAGGCCUUCGGGUUGUAAAGUACUUUCAGCGGGGAGGAAGGCGAUAAGGUUAAUAACCUUGUCGAUUGACGUUACCCGCAGAAGAAGCACCGGCUAACUCCGUGCCAGCAGCCGCGGUAAUACGGAGGGUGCAAGCGUUAAUCGGAAUUACUGGGCGUAAAGCGCACGCAGGCGGUCUGUCAAGUCGGAUGUGAAAUCCCCGGGCUCAACCUGGGAACUGCAUUCGAAACUGGCAGGCUAGAGUCUUGUAGAGGGGGGUAGAAUU